CCCCAGGAAGAGUUAGCUGCUGCAUGUGCAGUAGUUGAUGGAGAUCCUAAUGAACUAAACUAAACAGUAAGCUCUCUAGUUACAGCUGUUGACUGCCACCUGUAGACGUGCAUUAUGAAACAAACAACAUCUGCAUGCAACUGCAAGCAUUUGACCUGUAAUACUGUUGUCUUCACUUUCUCAGGAUGCGUUGUCGAACAAAUACAAUGCUGUCUUGGAAACCGAAGGAAAACUAACAAGAAAAGGCAACUGGAGCAGUCUUUCAUGAAGUAACAAGCUGCAUGGCACUUGGGUUUAAAAGGCAGAUAAUUUGGUAAAAACGCUUCCACAA